rnacentral:rRNA from 1 species
UGAACGCUGGCGGCGUGCCUAAUACAUGCAAGUCGCGCGAACAGACGAGGAGCUUGCUCCUCUGACGUUAGCGGCGGACGGGUGAGUAACACGUGGAUAACCUACCUAUAAGACUGGGAUAACUUCGGGAAACCGGAGCUAAUACCGGAUAAUAUAUUGAACCGCAUGGUUCAAUAGUGAAAGACGGUUUUGCUGUCACUUAUAGAUGGAUCCGCGCCGCAUUAGCUAGUUGGUAAGGUAACGGCUUACCAAGGCAACGAUGCGUAGCCGACCUGAGAGGGUGAUCGGCCACACUGGAACUGAGACACGGUCCAGACUCCUACGGGAGGCAGCAGUAGGGAAUCUUCCGCAAUGGGCGAAAGCUUGACGGAGCAACGCCGCGUGAGUGAUGAAGGUCUUCGGAUCGUAAAACUCUGUUAUUAGGGAAGAACAAAUGUGUAAGUAACUAUGCACGUCUUGACGGUACCUAAUCAGAAAGCCACGGCUAACUACGUG